rnacentral:tRNA from 1 species
UGGGGUGUAGCUCAGUGGUAGAGUGCUUGCCUGCCUAGCAAGUACAAGACCCUGGGUUCAAUCUCUAACACUGCAA